ACAGAGACUUAUCCUUCCGUAGGUUGGGAGAUUUAUCCUUGUCUAGUUACCCAGAUUAUCCUUCUAAGUUUACAAGAGUUAUCCUUCACCAGGACCUCCACUUAUCCUUCUAAGACACAGACUUAUCCUUCCGUAGGUUGGGAGAUUUAUCCUUGUCUAGUUACCCAGAUUAUCCUUCUAAGUUUACAAGAGUUAUCCUUCAUCAGGACCUCCACUUAUCCUUCUAAGACAGAGACUUAUCCUUCCGUAGGUUGGGAGAUUUAUCCUUGUCUAGUUACCCAGAUUAUCCUUCUAAGUUUACAAGAGUUAUCCUUCACCAGGACCUCCACUUAUCCUUCUAAGACACAGACUUAUCCUUCCGUAGGUUGGGAGAUUUAUCCUUGUCUAGUUACCCAGAUUAUCCUUCUAAGUUUACAAGAGUUGUCCUUCACCAGGACCUCCACUUAUCCUUCUAAGACACAGACUUAUCCUUCCGUAGGUUGGGAGAUUUAUCCUUGUCUAGUUACCCAGAUUAUCCUUCUAAGUUUACAAGAGUUAUCCUUCACCAGGACCUCCACUUAUCCUUCUAAGACACAGACUUAUCCUUCCGUAGGUUGGGAGAUUUAUCCUUGUCUAGUUACCCAGAUUAUCCUUCUAAGUUUACAAGAGUUAUCCUUCACCAGGACCUCCACUUAUCCUUCUAAGUUAUUAGAUUUAUCCUUGUGUAGGACACAGACUUAUCCUUCCGUAGGUUGGGAGAUUUAUCCUUGUCUAGUUACCCAGAUUAUCCUUCUAAGUUUACAAGAGUUAUCCUUCACCAGGACCUCCACUUAUCCUUCUAAGUUACUAGAUUUAUCCUUUUGUAGGACAGAGACUUAUCCUUCCGUAGGUUGGGAGAUUUAUCCUUGUCUAGUUACCUAG
rnacentral:lncRNA from 1 species